rnacentral:rRNA from 1 species
GACGGAGGGUGCAAGCGUUGUUCGGAUUGACUGGGCGUAAAGGGCGUGUAGGCGGCUGCCCAAGUCCGAUGUGAAAGCCCGAGGCUCAGCCACGGAAGUGCAUCGGAAACUAGGCAGCUGGAGCGCGAUAGAGGAGGGUAGAAUUCCUGGUGUAGCGGUGAAAUGCGUAGAUAUCAGGAGGAACACCUGUGGUGUAGACAGCUUACUGGACCAUAGCUGACGCUGAGACACGAAAGCGUGGGUAGCAAACAGG